rnacentral:lncRNA from 1 species
UCGGCGGGGUAUCAUCAGUGAGCAGUAGCUCACAGUUUCACUUGUUUGCAAUGGUUUUGUCUCUUUCUCUUCGCUUUAUAAUCUUUUAUCCUUCCUUUGGAAUCGUCCGUCUUUUUUUUAUUUGAAUUUUUAUAUUCAUUUUUGUUUUUACUAAACAUGACUUUGUGAAUUCUAUUAUCAUUUUUUCAUUAAAGGCAUAUAGCUCUUUAAUAUGUGUCUUUCUUUUUCAGAUUGAUUUACACUUUCUUUGCAGCCGUUUCUUAAUAUAUUUUACGACUCGAGCUUAAUUAUU